UCUAAGUUUAAGUAAACAGCAAAACUGCGAAUGGCUCAUUAAAACAGUUAUAAUUUAUUUGAUGAUUUACAUGGAUAACCGUGGGAAACUACAGCUAAUACAUGCCUAAAGUUGUAUUUAUUAGUUUGAUGAUUCAUAAUAACUGAUCGAAGCGCUUGUGCUAAAUCAUUCAAGUUUCUGCCCUAUCAGCGAUGGUAGUGUAUUGGACUACCAUGGCUAUAACGGGUAACGGAGAAUUGGGGUUCGAUUCCGGAGAGGGAGCCUGAGAAACGGCUACCACGUCUACGGAAGGCAGCAGGCGCGUAAAUUACCCAAUCCUAAAUCAGGGAGGUAGUUAAUAGAAAUACAAAUCCCCUAUUGGAGGGCAAGUCGGUGCCAGCAGCCGCGGUAAUUCCAGCUCCAAUAGUGUAUUUUAAUGUUGUUGCAGUUAAAAAGCUCGUAGUUGAAUUUGGUCAUCCGUCUGGGAAAGGCAUUUUACCAUGAAUAAAUUAGAGUGUUUCAAGCAAGCGUUCACUUGAAUAUUUCAGCAUGGAAUAAUAGAACAGGACUUAUUGGUUGUAAUGAUUAAAAGAAACAGUUGGGGGUAUUUGUACUUGAUAGUCAGAGGUAAAAUUCUUAGAUUUAUCAAAGACAAACUAGUGCGAAAGCAUUUGCCAAGGAUGUUUCAUUAAUCAAGAACGAAAGUUAGGGGAUCAAAGACGAUCAGAUACCGUCGUAGUCCUAACCAUAAACUAUACCGACUUAGGAUUGGUGGCCCCAUCAGCACUAAAUGAGAAAUCAAAGUCUUUGGGUUCUUGGGGGAGUAUGGUCGCAAGGCUGAAACUUAAAGGAAUUGACGGAAGGGCACACCAGAAGUGGAGCCUGCGGCUUAAUUUGACUCAACACGGGAAAACUUACCAGGGCAAAAGGGCAGUAUGAUUGACAGUAUGAUAGAACUUUCUUAAUUGGUUGGCAAGUGGUGCAUGGCCGUUCUUAGUUGGUGGAGUGAUUUGUCAGGUUAAUUCCUUUAACGAACGAGACCUUAACCUGCUAAUCUUCUUAGAGGGACUUAAAUAAGUGGAAGUUUGAGGCAAUAACAGGUCCGUGAUGCCCUUAGAUGUCCUGGGCCGCACGCGCGCUACAAUGAUGCACGCAACGACCUAAUCUGAAAAGAUCUAGGAAAACUAUAGUAUGCAUCGUGUUAGGGGUAGAUCUUUGUAAUUUUAGAUCUUGAACGAGGAAUUUCUUGUAAGCAUGUGUCAUUAACGCAUGCUGAAUAAGUCCCUGCCCUUUGUACACACCGCCCGUCACUCAUACCGAGAAUGUUUAGGCGAAUUUUCUGGAUGUAAAAUAUUGAGUAAGCCAUGGCAUUUAGAGGAAUGGUAAGGCGUAACAAGGUU
rnacentral:rRNA from 1 species